UCUUAAAAGAACUCUCCAGCCAACCCGUUUUACUCACCUGGUUCCAGCGCCAGGAGCCUUGUGAAGCCGCGCCCCCUAUAUCAUCAAAAUGACGAAAUAGGUGGGCGCGAGCAGGGAGCAAUCAGACGCUUCCAUUGCUCCCUUGUGCGCGGCUUCGGCAUUCAUGCCGCCCUCUGAAGUCCUGAGCGCACUACCGCACAUGCGCGCGGCCGCGUUGACUGACAGCUCAGCUCGCGGUCUUUGCCCGCCCCUUUCCUCUGC